rnacentral:rRNA from 1 species
GACGAACCGUGCGAACGUUGUUCGGAAUCACUGGGCUUAAAGGGCGCGUAGGCGGGCUGCCAAGUCCGUGGUGAAAUCCUCCGGCUCAACCGGAGAACUGCCUCGGAUACUGGGCGUCUCGAGUGUGGUAGGGGUAUGCGGAACUAUCGGUGGAGCGGUGAAAUGCGUUGAUAUCGAUAGGAACUCCGGUGGCGAAGGCGGCAUACUGGACCACCACUGACGCUGAUGCGCGAAAGCCAGGGGAGCAAACGGG